UACGUAGGGGGCAAGCGUUGUCCGGAUUUAUUGGGCGUAAAGAGCGUGUAGGCGGCCAGGUAGGUCCGUUGUGAAAACUCGAGGCUCAACCUCGAGACGCCGAUGGAAACCAUCUGGCUAGAGUCCGGAAGAGGAGAGUGGAAUUCCCGGUGUAGCGGUGAAAUGCGCAGAUAUCGGGAAGAACACCCGUGGCUAAGGCGGCUCUCUGGUACGGUACUGACGCUGAGACGCGAAAGCGUGGGGAGCGAACAGG
rnacentral:rRNA from 1 species